CCUACGGGGGGCAGCAGUGAGGAAUAUUGGUCAAUGGACGAGAGUCUGAACCAGCCAAGUAGCGUGAAGGAUGACUGCCCUAUGGGUUGUAAACUUCUUUUAUAAAGGAAUAAAACGAGGCACGUGUGCCUUUUUGCAUGUACUUUAUGAAUAAGGAUCGGCUAACUCCGUGCCAGCAGCCGCGGUAAUACGGAGGAUCCGAGCGUUAUCCGGUUUUGUUGGGUUUAAAGGGAGCGUAGAUGGGUUGUUAAGUCAGUUGUGAAAGUUUGCGGCUCAACCGUAAAAUUGCAAUUGAUACUGGCAGUCUUGAGUACAGUUGAGGUAGGCGGAAUUCGUGGUGUAGCGGUGAAAUGCUUAGAUAUCACGAAGAACCCCGAUUGCGAAGGCAGCUUACUAAACUGUGACUGACAUUGAUGCUCGAAAGUGUGGGUAUCAAACAGGAUUAGAUACCCCAGUAGUC
rnacentral:rRNA from 1 species